UUUACGGAGAGUUUGAUCCUGGCUCAGGACGAACGCUGGCGGCGUGCUUAACACAUGCAAGUCGAACGAUGAAGCCCAGCUUGCUGGGUGGAUUAGUGGCGAACGGGUGAGUAACACGUGAGUAACCUGCCCUUGACUCUGGGAUAAGCGCUGGAAACGGCGUCUAAUACCGGAUACGACCUGCCCCGGCAUCGGGUGCGGGUGGAAAGUUUUUCGGUCAAGGAUGGACUCGCGGCCUAUCAGCUUGUUGGUGAGGUAAUGGCUCACCAAGGCGACGACGGGUAGCCGGCCUGAGAGGGUGACCGGCCACACUGGGACUGAGACACGGCCCAGACUCCUACGGGAGGCAGCAGUGGGGAAUAUUGCACAAUGGGCGAAAGCCUGAUGCAGCAACGCCGCGUGGGGGAUGACGGCCUUCGGGUUGUAAACCUCUUUUAGUAGGGAAGAAGGACUUCGGUUUGACGGUACCUGCAGAAAAAGCACCGGCUAACUACGUGCCAGCAGCCGCGGUAAUACGUAGGGUGCAAGCGUUGUCCGGAAUUAUUGGGCGUAAAGAGCUCGUAGGCGGUUUGUCGCGUCUGCUGUGAAAACCCGAGGCUCAACCUCGGGCCUGCAGUGGGUACGGGCAGACUAGAGUGCGGUAGGGGAGAAUGGAAUUCCUGGUGUAGCGGUGGAAUGCGCAGAUAUCAGGAGGAACACCGAUGGCGAAGGCAGUUCUCUGGGCCGUAACUGACGCUGAGGAGCGAAAGCAUGGGGAGCGAACAGGAUUAGAUACCCUGGUAGUCCAUGCCGUAAACGUUGGGCGCUAGAUGUGGGGACCUUUCCACGGUUUCCGUGUCGCAGCUAACGCAUUAAGCGCCCCGCCUGGGGAGUACGGCCGCAAGGCUAAAACUCAAAGGAAUUGACGGGGGCCCGCACAAGCGGCGGAGCAUGCGGAUUAAUUCGAUGCAACGCGAAGAACCUUACCAAGGCUUGACAUAUACCGGAAACUUCCAGAAAUGGUUGCCCCGCAAGGUCGGUAUACAGGUGGUGCAUGGUUGUCGUCAGCUCGUGUCGUGAGAUGUUGGGUUAAGUCCCGCAACGAGCGCAACCCUCGUUCUAUGUUGCCAGCACGUCAUGGUGGGAACUCAUAGGAGACUGCCGGGGUCAACUCGGAGGAAGGUGGGGAUGACGUCAAAUCAUCAUGCCCCUUAUGUCUUGGGCUUCACGCAUGCUACAAUGGCCGGUACAAAGGGCUGCGAUACCGUAAGGUGGAGCGAAUCCCAAAAAGCCGGUCUCAGUUCGGAUUGAGGUCUGCAACUCGACCUCAUGAAGUCGGAGUCGCUAGUAAUCGCAGAUCAGCAACGCUGCGGUGAAUACGUUCCCGGGCCUUGUACACACCGCCCGUCAAGUCAUGAAAGUCGGUAACACCCGAAGCCAGUGGCCUAACCGCAAGGAGGGAGCUGUCGAAGGUGGGAUCGGUGAUUAGGACUAAGUCGUAACAAGGUAGCCGUACCGGAAGGUGCGGCUGGAUCACCUCCUUUCUAAGGA
rnacentral:rRNA from 1 species